rnacentral:rRNA from 1 species
AUGAACGCUGGCGGCGUGCUUAACACAUGCAAGUCGAACGAUGAAGCCCAGCUUGCUGGGUGGAUUAGUGGCGAACGGGUGAGUAACACGUGAGUAACCUGCCCCUGACUCUGGGAUAAGCCCGGGAAACUGGGUCUAAUACUGGAUAUGACCUGUCACCGCAUGGUGGUGGGUGGAAAGAUUUUUUGGUUGGGGAUGGACUCGCGGCCUAUCAGCUUGUUGGUGAGGUAGUGGCUCACCAAGGCGACGACGGGUAGCCGGCCUGAGAGGGUGACCGGCCACACUGGGACUGAGACACGGCCCAGACUCCUACGGGAGGCAGCAGUGGGGAAUAUUGCACAAUGGGCGCAAGCCUGAUGCAGCGACGCCGCGUGAGGGAUGACGGCCUUCGGGUUGUAAACCUCUUUCAGUAGGGAAGAAGCCUUUUGGGUGACGGUACCUGCAGAAGAAGCGCCGGCUAACUACGUGCCAGCAGCCGCGGUAAUACGUAGGGCGCAAGCGUUAUCCGGAUUUAUUGGGCGUAAAGAGCUCGUAGGCGGUUUGUCGCGUCUGCCGUGAAAGUCCGGGGCUUAACUCCGGAUCUGCGGUGGGUACGGGCAGACUAGAGUGCAGUAGGGGAGACUGGAAUUCCUGGUGUAGCGGUGAAAUGCGCAGAUAUCAGGAGGAACACCGAUGGCGAAGGCAGGUCUCUGGGCUGUAACUGACGCUGAGGAGCGAAAGCAUGGGGAGCGAACAGGAUUAGAUACCCUGGUAGUCCAUGCCGUAAACGUUGGGCACUAGGUGUGGGGGACAUUCCACGUUUUCCGCGCCGUAGCUAACGCAUUAAGUGCCCCGCCUGGGGAGUACGGCCGCAAGGCUAAAACUCAAAGGAAUUGACGGGGGCCCGCACAAGCGGCGGAGCAUGCGGAUUAAUUCGAUGCAACGCGAAGAACCUUACCAAGGCUUGACAUGGACUGGAUCGCCGCAGAGAUGUGGUUUCCCUUCGGGGCUGGUUCACAGGUGGUGCAUGGUUGUCGUCAGCUCGUGUCGUGAGAUGUUGGGUUAAGUCCCGCAACGAGCGCAACCCUCGUUCCAUGUUGCCAGCGGGUUAUGCCGGGGACUCAUGGGAGACUGCCGGGGUCAACUCGGAGGAAGGUGAGGACGACGUCAAAUCAUCAUGCCCCUUAUGUCUUGGGCUUCACGCAUGCUACAAUGGCCGGUACAAAGGGUUGCGAUACUGUGAGGUGGAGCUAAUCCCAAAAAGCCGGUCUCAGUUCGGAUUGGGGUCUGCAACUCGACCCCAUGAAGUCGGAGUCGCUAGUAAUCGCAGAUCAGCAACGCUGCGGUGAAUACGUUCCCGGGCCUUGUACACACCGCC